GGAGGGCGACUUCCCGUCCCAGCCAGCUGUACUCACAGCUACAGCCUCUGGGGAUGAGCGCUCUAGGUUUACUAUCCUAAUGGAUGAUAAAGGCCAGUCUCUGUCAUUUCCACCAUUUCUGCAGCUGACUUCCUCCCUCCUAGAAGCCAUGUCAAAAGGGAGGGGCAUCUAAGGCGUGGGAGACCCUGCAGUCAAAGUGGCCCAUAUCACAGUGAGCCUGAAGAAAACAUUUCAAGGCCGCUGGGAGCAGUUUGAAGGUGCUAGAGAAAUCAGCAGGGCUCUGGGUAAGGGAAGGUAUUCUAGUGCAAAUUGAAGCUCCCACGGUUCAGAGACCUGGCCUUACCAACCUACUCUGCUUCCCUGUAGAGAAUAAUGGGCCAGUCAGAGGCAGUGGCACAGGCCAAAUGGGCCAACAAGGAGCUGCUCCUCGGCCAUUCUGUGGUGGUAGAGACUUAGUUGAGCAAGUGUCUGGAGUCCCAGCACGGGGCCUCCUGACUAUACCUUGGGUCUAUCCUGCAGCAGUUGGGUGGGGGUGAGAUAUUCCUGAAUCCACUCACCUUCUGGUUCAGUAGUGCCUGCACCACGUGGUUGGCAACCUGGGGACACAAAGCCCGGGAGCUGAGCUGGCAUUGUGCCCACCCACCCCGUCCUCAGCCCUGUCCUUCGGCAAACCCCACAGACCUCAUCCAGACAGCGUUCGUAAGUCUCCCGCUGGUUCUCAUUGGCCUGCGCAAGCGCCGAGUUCUCUGCCUACAGUGAAAAUGGAAACAUGGAGGCUCAUUUGUACCCUGGGAGUGAGGGUGGCGUUGUGGACAAGCUUUGCCCUGUCCAUCAAACUCCUGGGCCAGGGUUAUCUGGCUGUUUUACUCAGUAGCCUCUAUGGCCACUACUGUCCUUGGAGCCAUCAGAGCCAUAGAGGUCAGGGUCAGGGUCAGGGGAGACCCUUGGGGCAUAGGACAGCUACACACCCUUUGCUGCCGCCUGAGCUGGACAGAGAAGGGGAACCAGGCCUCCCCUGGGGAGCUUUAGUAAAGAAACACCCAGCCCUCUCCCGCCUGGCAAGCUUUCUCCAUACUGAGCUCUGAGGUGGGCAGCCCUGACUCCCCACGCCCUACCCUGUCUUCGACCACAUACCUCCAGCUCCCGAAGUCGGUGCAAAAGGUCCUGGCAGGUGCCGAGCUCCAUGCUCCCGUCUUCGCCAGCAGGCGGCCUCGGGUUUCCAGUGCCUGCGGCUGGCUGCUCCAUGGCCUUGGGAGUCAGGCUCUGGAAACAAGGCCUGGCAGGCUACUCCCAGGCAAGAGAGAGAAGGCAGGAGGAGGAGCCCCAGCUCUCUCACACACCCUGCACAGGGCCUGGAGUCCGAAUUCUCUGCUGGCGAAUCAGCUGCCCUGAGACUCAACGUCCUUGUUUACAAAGUAACACCAACUCCAACUAACGUAACUCACUGUUGACACAUAAAACUUAAACCUGCCAAGGGAAUUAAUUAAUUAGUUUGGUUUUACAAGACAGGGUUCAUUUGGUAACAAGCCCUGGCUGUCCUGGACUCACUCUGUAGACCAGGCUGGCCUUGAACUCACAGAGAUACGUCCAUCUCAGUCUUCCAAGGACUAAAAGUGUGCACCACCACACCAGGCACCAAGGGGAUUUGAAGAUGGGCUGAAUCUACGGCUCAGCUAAGAGGGCUGCCUGCUCUUCCCGAGGACCCAGGUUCAAUUCCCAGCACCCGAACCACAGCUAAGCUUUGUCUCUCCUUGGACACAGCAUGAAGCAUCCUUUGUGCCUCCUACACUCCCUCUUCUGGCUCCAAAUGAUCCAGGUAUUUUGGGCACAGCGACACAAGAACAAUGACUACAUCGCAAUGCGGAACCUUCUGUUGAGGGAUAUAUGCCCCUUAGCUUCCACCAAUGGCUCCACUGCCCCAUCCUUCCCAGUUAAAGGCCUCAUCAAAGAGAAUUAGAAAAUGUGGAUCAGGACUGGAGAGAUGGCUCAGUGGUUAAGAGCACUGACUGCUCUUCCGAAGGUCCAGAGUUCAAAUCCCAGCAACC